AUGGAAAGAGCACCAGUUUUUCUUACCUGUAGGGUGGGGGUGGGGGGGUCAGAAUCUUGUCCCCUGCAGGGUUAUUGUGGUGACCACAGAUUGCAUUUGGAAGUGCGCUGUGCGCUACAGAGUGCUGAGCGAAUUAAAGGUUUUGUUGUUUUCUCUUCAAGGACCUCAGUGAACAUUUGUGGAACUGACCCACGCUGGGCUGGGCGCUGCCUCUCUUCUUGGCAAGGAGAAGAUGGGCCACAAAACGGGAGAUCUCAGCCGCCCAGGCGACCCCUCCCCAGGUGUGGAUGCGGUCCUCAGAGCAGGAUCGAGGGAACUGAGACUGAGCUGCACUUCCUACCUGAGUGGGGGGCCACCUGUGCACAUGGCCAGCGCUUCCCUGGGUUUCUCCUUCUGCUGUCCCCCUGAGCUCCAUGCACCAGGUGUGGACGCAGCACCUGCUGGAGAGCCACAUGCCAACGCACCACCUUUGACACAGCAGUGCCCCACCUGAGAGUCUACCCUAAGGGAAUAACCCUCAAAAACUGAAAAAGCUGGGCGGCCCCGGUGGCUCAGUGGUUUAAGUGCCACCUUCAGCCUGGGGUAUGAUCCUGGAGACCCGGGAUCGAGUCCCGAGUCCCGCGUCAGGCUCCCUGCAUGGAGCCUGCUUCUCCCUCUGCCUGUGUCUCUGCUUCUCUCUCUCUGUUUCUCAUGAAUAAAUAAAUAAAAUCUUAAAACA
rnacentral:lncRNA from 12 species